AGCUCAACCUUGUUGAGUUCAUUAAUAAAGAUCCCGUGUUCCUCUCUGUAUCUCAACUGGCUUGAAUAAUUCAUAGCUACCUGAUUAUUAUUAUUCUUAGAAAAGGUACAAGUUUUGGUUGAAAUAUGGAGAAAUCAAAUCUUCUUGUGAAUGGUGGGAUGAAAUUGCCUAUUGGGUAUAGAUUUCAUCCUACAGAUGAAGAACUUCUUCUUCAUUACUUGAGACGUAAGGUCUUUGGUGUUCCAUUGCCUGCUUCUGUUAUUCCUGAGCUUGAUGUAUUCCAAGCUGAUCCCUGGAGCUUGCCAGGUAAUUUGAAGGAAAAGAGGUAUUUCUUUGGCAGAAAUUGGGGAAAUGACAGUGAAAACGGAUGCAAGAAAGCUGCUGGUUCUGGCUACUGGAAGCCUAUUGGCAAAGGCAGGCAAAUUGUAGCUUCUUUUAGCAACCAUGUAAUUGGAAUGAAGAAAACUCUAAUUUUCCGUGAAGGGAAGCAUUCUAAUGACUCUACAACUCAGUGGAUCAUGCAUGAAUAUCGCCUUGUAGGCUCAGGAACAAUCCCUAACAUAACCCAGAUAGCUAAGAUGAAAUUAGGAGAUUGGGUUGUCUACCG
rnacentral:misc_RNA from 1 species